rnacentral:rRNA from 1 species
AGUGAACGCUGGCGGUAGGCCUAACACAUGCAAGUCGAACGGCAGCACAGUAAGAGCUUGCUCUUACGGGUGGCGAGUGGCGGACGGGUGAGGAAUACAUCGGAAUCUACUUUUUCGUGGGGGAUAACGUAGGGAAACUUACGCUAAUACCGCAUACGACCUACGGGUGAAAGCAGGGGAUCUUCGGACCUUGCGCGAUUGAAUGAGCCGAUGUGGGAUUAGCUAGUUGGCGGGGUAAAGGCCCACCAAGGCGACGGUCCGUAGCUGGUCUGAGAGGAUGGUCCGCCACACUGGAAGUGAGACACGGUCCAGACUCCUACGGUAGGCAGCAGUGGGGAAUAUUGGACAAUGGGCGGAAGCCUGAUACAGCCAUACCGCGUGGGUUAAGAAGGCCUUCGGGUUGUAAAGCCCUUUUGUUGGGAAAGAAAAGCAGCAGGUUAAUACCCCGCUGUUCUGACGGUACCCAAAGAAUAAGCGCCGGCUAACUUCGUG